AGAGUUUGAUCCUGGCUCAGGAUGAACGCUAGCUACAGGCUUAACACAUGCAAGUCGAGGGGAAACGACAUCGAAAGCUUGCUUUUGAUGGGCGUCGACCGGCGCACGGGUGAGUAACGCGUAUCCAACCUGCCCACCACUUGGGGAUAACCUUGCGAAAGUAAGACUAAUACCCAAUGACGUCUCUAGAAGACAUCUGAAAGAGAUUAAAGAUUUAUCGGUGAUGGAUGGGGAUGCGUCUGAUUAGCUUGUUGGCGGGGUAACGGCCACCGAAGGCGACGAUCAGUAGGGGUUCUGAGAGGAAGGUCCCCCANACUUGGAACUGAGACACGGUCCAAACUCCGUAACGGAGGCA
rnacentral:rRNA from 1 species